ensembl:lncRNA
GGCGAACAAACUGAAAAGUGAAAACCACAACCUCACCCAGAGGUUAUCUCAGUCCGAGGAGGAAUGUGCAAACUUGCUGGCUGUCAACAGCAGAAUCAACAAAAUAGACACACUACAGAGGAUCCUUGAUGAUGUGGUGCCAGCAUGACCUUGAGGACAUGGGUUCAAGUUCGGAAUAAGCACAAAAGCAUAAUUCAAUGUGCUGUACCUGUUGAAGUCCUGAGCAACACCAUUGGAAGGGGGUCAACUCCACCGCCCUUCACCGUUUCGGGGAGCUGGCCCUCGCUAAUAAUGAAGGGCAGCCGAUGAUGGCCUGGG